CGCGCAUCAUUCCUGGAACGUCAAGAGUGUGAAGGCUGAAGACAACCUGAAGCUGACGAGACAUACUGAGUUUAAUGUUUUUUUUGUAUGUGUGCCUAUGUGUGAACAAGAAUUGGUUCCUUAAUCCUUCUCAAAUAGAGGGAUGACAGUGGACAAGAUAGUCUUACCAGACUUUGACAUUAUAGUAAUUUAUCACAAUAGGAACGUGGUAUAUAAUAUGGUUAUUAUUAAUUGCCAGUGAGAAGCAUUGUUUUUAAAAUUUUUAUUAUCUGGUCUCUAUUUUUAGGGUAAGCAACUUAGCCACCAAAACAAAUUUCCCUCCUCCCCAAAUUCAUGAUUUCUGCUUUUGCUUUUCUCAAAAACUUUCUACUCAACAAUAGUAUCACAGUCUCAUUUAACUAAUUUUUCGUAGUUUCUAAAAAGGUAUUCUAAAAAGUCUUUGCUUUCUUGCUGCAUUGUAGGUGAUUCUUAAACUCUUGUUUCUGGAAUUUAAUGCCUUUUUCUUUUAAUCUGUUACUGAAUCUACCACAUUGCUUUCAGCUUGCUUUUUGAAAUUCAGAUCUGGGGAGAACUUGAGCAACAUUUGUAGAUGCUCCAUCCCUGUUAGACUCAAUGUGGGCUGCAUUUUGGAAUCUGCUAUAAGAUUUUUAGCAAGGUUCUUUAUUUUUGUUCUCUGCUGCUCUGGAUUUUUAAAAUAUUCUGACCUAGUUGAUUUAUCAAAUGGCCUCAUAUUAUAACAUCACUAUAGUCAUAUACAUGUUUUUAUUUAAUUUGGAGAACAAGAUUUCUGAACAGGCAUAUUGAAAACACCCCCAAAGGUUGUUAUACACCUUUGGUUAUUAUAUUUCAACCCUGGGCUUAUUUCUGUAUUACAUUCGUUAUGUAGAUGCUUCAUCCCAUGGAUUCUGUUAUUUUUG
rnacentral:lncRNA from 1 species